rnacentral:rRNA from 1 species
GUAGUCCUACGGGGCGCAGCAGUGAGGAAUAUUGGUCAAUGGGCGGGAGCCUGAACCAGCCAAGCCGCGUGAAGGAAGAAGGCGCCAGGCGUCGUAAACUUCUUUUGUCGGGGAACAAAGGGCGCCACGUGUGGCGUUGUGAGUGUACCCGAAGAAAAAGCAUCGGCUAACUCCGUGCCAGCAGCAACGGUAAUACGGAGGAUGCGAGCGUUAUCCGGAUUUAUUGGGUUUAAAGGGUGCGUAGGCGGUCCGGAAAG